AUUACAACACUGUCUAGAUGGCAUAUCUCGGCUGCUAUAAUGUAACAUACUUUCUGCUGCUCUUAGAAAUAGCAACAAGAUCUUCUUCAUUACCAUCCUAGAUUCUCUACAAUGAUCAUCAAAGAGGUAGCGAGACUAUCUGGCAGGAAAGAGUGAUGAUAUCUAUCAAAAUUCCCAUGCAUUGGUGGCUUCCUCUUAAUACCGCCUUCUACAGUGAUAUGAGCUUUAAGAGAAAAAUAAUAAGGGGGAGGCAAGGUCCGUUAUUAUAAAAACAAAAAUAUAAAAAUAAUAUUGAAAAAAAAAAAAAGGGCGGAAUGGAGCUUUGAACCAGGGACCUUGGAUGUGUUAUUCCAAACAAUUGAGUAACCCAGAACGAACACAACAGGCUAAAGUUAAUAUUGACACAUAGUAAACUACUUUUAUACACAAUCUAAAACACAGAUACAUACAAAACUGCUGGUACGACUGUUUGGCUGGUGCGCGUAACUAUCUGCUUAAAUAAUCAAAUCAUAAAGAACGGUACAUCUAACCAUCCUGAAACAACCUGGUCGACACGUUAAAGUGAGGUCAGUGAUUGAUUGAUUAAAUAUUGUGAUACGUUGUGUAUCGUACUCCUGGCUAAUGAACAUGCCUUAAGAAUACCUUAUUUUGGUUUAAUAUGAGUCCAAAAUUAAGUGAGGUUAUGUUGAUAUAUAUGUAUAUGGAUGUACGAUGGGUAAUAGGAAACCGCCUCCCUAAUAAGGGCUCAUCCCUUUUGUAAAUACUGUAUUAGCUGUGCCGUUAAAAAAAAAAAAAAACCUAAGUAGUCAUGUAACAACCAAGCAACAACAAAAACAUAACUGUACGGUAGCUGCUUCCAGAACAUCACCUAUAUAACUGUUCGGCCAAUCUCUAUUCUCACCUACUCAAAAAUAAAACACCACUCCAAAACACAGACAAAUUAAUAAUUACAAUAAACAAAAUAAGGCUGGAUUCCGGUGGGGCGCUUUGCGCGGUCCUCUGGCCUCGUCUAGUGCAAAUUCCUGUGGAAACAAGGUGAAAGGGCCGGCUACAUUGAUUACCCUUCGCACUUAAUAAUACAUACAGUCACGCUUCGCCACAAUAAUAGCGGCAACGUUGUAAGAUAUUGUAAUGCAUAACUCUGGAACCCAAAGCACCCAGAACCUUCAUGUUUAUGAUCCAUAGACUAUACUGCCAGACAUUCCCCCGUCUAGACGACAUAUCUCAGAUGCUUAAAACGUAUAGGUAUGUCUGCAGUUCUUAGGAAUCUUCACAAGGUUUUCUCUUUAAGGCCAUUGUAGUUCUCACCUUCCACUGCAACAUAUAAUUCACCUAUCCGUGACAUGGAAUUAGGCGUGACGAACUGGCCCUUAGUUAGGUAUCAUACCACAAUAUCUUAUAGUAGUUCUCUUUCUCCCAUGGUAUAGUUUGUCUGGUCCUAGACCAACGUGUUUCUAUCAAUUUACUAUAUUAGUAGUCAAUUUAGUAUAUCUCCUCUCCAAUUGUAAUCUGUACAUAGGAAACAGAGGACCACCUCCUUUCUAAAUCACUAUAUCGUUAUUGUGUUAUUUAUGUCUCCUAUACGUCAAUAUGUGCUGUAUGUCCAUCACCUGUGCUGUAUAUAGCCAACACUUUACCUUGUCAUACUGCUUUACAUAUGUGCAUGAUAUAUAUGUCUCUCUCUUUGGAUUUUUUGCAGGUGUGAUACAUUAAUUUCCUCUCUGCAUGACACCUUCCCUGUAUAUAACCAACACUCUCUAUUUCCUCCAUGCUAGAUAUUCCUGGAUAUCCUGCUAUACUACUUUACCUAUGUGCAUGCUGUAUAUAGAUUUCUCUCUUAGAACUGUUAUAGGUGUAUAUAUACUAAUCUCCUCCUUUUAUGUCUCCUCCCCUUUCCUUGCCCUAUCUUUACUCUAUAUAUACUUAAAUAUAUGUGUAACAUGAUCCCUAAUAAAUAACACCAGACCUGAGGCAGCUUAGCUGCAUCUCUUGGUCUCUUCCGGGGCCAGACUGUUGGUCCGCUCCUUCGCUGGCCUUCCAGCUCAGUUUCCUUGCCUUUGCUUUCGCUCAAUGAUGCGGACGAAUUGGGAUGCAAGGACAAUCUUGUCUAUAUCAUCCCUGGCCCUGCUACGCAGGGCCGAACUUUCUAUCUGUCCCUAUCUGCUAUCUAGCGAAACCACAGCCAAGGGAACGGGCUUGGAAAAAUCAGCGGGGAAAGAAGACCCUGUUGAGUUUCACUCUAGUCUGGCUCUGUGAAGAGACAUGAGAGGUGUAGUAUAAGUGGGAGCUUCGGCGACGGUGAAAUACCACUACUUUCAUCGUUUCUUUACUGACUCGGUGAGGCGGAAAGCGGUCUCGGACCGGCAUUCUAGAACCAAGUCCCCACCUCUGGUGGGGGCGAUCCGCUCCGAGGACAGUUUCAGGCGGGGAGCUUGGCUGGGGCGGUACAUCUGUCAAAGGGUAACGCAGGUGUCCUAAGGCGAGCUCAGCGAGGACGGAAACCUCGCGUGGAGUGAAAGGGCAAAAGCUGGCUUGAUCUUGAUUUUCAGUACGAAUACGGACCGCGAAAGCGUGGCCUAUCGAUCCUUUUGAUAUUCGGGGUUUGAAGCAAGAGGUGUCAGAAAAAUUACCAAAGGGAUAACUGGCUUGUGGCGGCCAAGCGUUCAUAGCGACGUCGCUUUUUGAUCCUUCGAUGUCGGCUCUUCCUAUCAUUGCGAAGCAGAAUUCGCCAAGCGUUGGAUUGUUCACCCACCAACAGGUAACGUGAGCUGGGUUUAGACCGUCGUGUGACAGGUUAGUUUUACCCUACUGAUGCGGGUCGUUGCCGUAGUAUUCCUGCUCAGUACGAGAGGAACCGCAGGUACGGACAUUUGGUACGUGCGCUUGGUCGAACGGCCAAUGGCGCGAAGCUACCAUCCGAGGGAUUACGACUGAACGCCUCUAAGUCGGAAUCCCGCCUAUGGAUUGCAACGAUACUGUCGUGUCCCCGUUAUUUCGCGGUGCGAAUAGCGGGCUCCCUCGUGGGGUCCGCGAUCAGACCUUCCCGGGGCGUGCUAGACAGCAACUGGAGCGUUGUUGCCGUCGCGCGUCUCACACUCAACCUGUUUGAGGAAA
rnacentral:rRNA from 1 species